AUUGAUUACCUCGAAUGCUUUAUUUGUCCAUUGCAAUUCCAAGAAUGGCAGCAAAGUGUUCAUGUAGCCAAUAUUCCUACUUUUUUGUCAUUUUUUCUUGCUUAGUUGGAAACUUGGAACAGCCAACAAAACACUCCUUCACCCUUGCCAUGACUUAGAAUAUGAAGUGAUGUUGGCGGGUUGGAUCAUGAGGGUUGAGAAUGGAGAAUAGUUUAAGAACAGUAGAUGCUGAACUUUUCACUAUCUGAAUAUGAGAGAAAUUCACCCUCUGCAUUAGUUGCAAAAGAUGCUGAUUUUGAUCAUAACAAUUAUAGUUGUUCAAGCAGUAGCAGAUUUGGCAACCUCACAGUCAUCUCAUUCAGAAUUCACGUCGUAUCCUCAACGGAGCUUAAGAUGCUGAUUUUGAUCAUAACAAUUAUAGUUGUUCAAGCAGUAGCAGAUUUGGCAACCUCACAGUCAUCUCAUUCAGAAUUCGCGUCCUAUCCUUAACGGUUAGCUUAUUAACGCGUUGUGGGCACUUCAUUUGGCAUCGUCUUUCAGGCUAAAUUCUUGGAAACUGGGGAGACGGUGGCCAUUAAGAAGGUACUGCAGGACCGACGGUCCAAGAACCGGGAGCUGCAGCUUAUGCAUUUGAUUAACCAUUCCAAUGUUGUUCUCCCUCAAGCACUGCUUCUUCUCAACCACAAGUAGAGAUGAGAUGUUUCUGAACCUUGUCAUGGAGUAUGUCCUGGAGACACUCUACCGUAUGCUUAAGAACUACAGUAAUGCCAAAAAGGGGAUGCCACUUAUCUACGUCAAGCUUUACACCUAUCAGGGGGCUUGCGUAUAUUCAUACUGUUCCUGGAGUCUGCCACAGGGAUGUGAAGCGACAAAAUGUUUGGUAUGUAUUAGUGAAUACUUUC